AACUUCAACUCAAAACCUAAAUUAUCGAUUAUCAGCGAUCAGCCCCCAACCGCCGAUCUCCAACAUCCAAUACGGCGUGUCGUUUUUCAGAUGGAUCUUGACGCGAAAAGGUUUGGAAGAGGGCCUCGGGAACUUGGUGGUGCUGCCAAUCUCAUAAAUCAGUAUAAGCUUUGGCCUUAUCAUGAAUUCUUUUGCAAAAGGUCGCUUCCUUUAUCAGAGACUCAUUAUCUUCAUAAUGUGGUGGGAGACACAGAGAUCAGGAAAGGGGAGGGGAUGAAAUUGGAUCAGCUAUUUGAGAACACCCCUUAUAUGAGAGAAAGGAAUGCAAACAUACAUCCUUUCGAUUUGGGUAUGCUUAGUGAAGCUUUCCGAAUAAAGGAGACAACUCCUGUUCAUUUACCUUCCGCCGAGAAAGGGAUCCGUACCUCAGUGGUGAAGUCAAAGGGUGAGUUAGAAGACAAGGAAAGGAAGCAUAAAAAGAACAAAGACAAGGAUAAGGAUCGUAAGAAGCACAAAAAACAUCGCAAGGACAACCGCGGUGAUGCUGAUUACAGCAAUAAGAAUGUUACUAAUGGCUUGAAAACUGUGCAGUUGAAGGAACAGCCAGAUAUGUUCAUUCAGAAGAGGAGGCUCAAUGGUUAUGAAGAUCUUUCUGUCCGUGAAAAUAAAAGAGUGAGAAUCCAAAGAUAACUGAGAAUGGCAAGCUAAAGGUGACUCCUUGACGGGUUGAAAACACAUUGCUUAGAUUUGUCUGGAUUUUACGACAUGCUCAAAAUUUUUCAGUCAACAACUACUCUGGAUGUUGACGUCUAGGAUGAGUCCACCGUAUAUUAGUUGGAGCAUUGAAGGAGGCAUUGGUCAGAGCUGUUUUCUCCCCAUCUUGCUUUGUUUAUUUGAAUUUUGAAAUCUGGAUUUGGAUGGCAAUGUGGACAUGGAAUCAAUUCCAGAUUUAUGGAAAUAUUGAUAGCCAUGUUGAUCACAAACUACAAAACCAGCUGCAGAUGAGAUAUCUUGUCUGACUAUUGAAAUUGAGUUUGAUAUGAGGAGAAUCCAGCGGUUUCUGCUUGAUAAUUUUACCAUGUC